rnacentral:lncRNA from 1 species
UUAGCCAAUUUGUUCCAUGAAUUUGAUCAAAGAGACCUAGGAUGCUCAAAGAUGUAAUUGUUAUUUGUUUUUCUGCCUCUUAGUAGUCACAAAAGUGGAAUCAUCCCUGUCGUUUGUUUUCUCAACUAUCGCCUUAAGCGCUUCUUCAAUGGCGUUUAUCCAGUGAUUCACCCCUUGUUGAUUAUCAAUACUACCACCCGAAUGUUGAUCUUCUCCGGUUACAAACAAAACAUUUUUCACACGUCUUCCAAGUGUUGUGAUCUCGGCUUUUAGGGUUCUCAGUCGAAGCAUUUUCAAAGUUUUUAUUAGGUCUUGCAAUAGAUCUGACCGAUCCUCACAACAUAAUGAUGCCCUGAUCACGAUCCUACCUUCUUCAUCGGAUGUGUUGUCAAUCGUUAACUCAUCUAUCUCACUCGGAACUGGUAUUUGUUCAGCGAUGAUGGAAGUUUGGCACUUAAGCUCCUUCACGUGUUGGAUCACUUCCGCAAGUAAUGAAGCCUUGUCCACAGCUUACUUUGGUGGUGUUGGGAAGUAAGCUACGAAGCUUAGUAAGAUGAUUAUUGAUUCGUUCGCGACGUCUUCGUUCUGCUUCGCUGUGGCUUUUCGAGGCGGCUAUGCUUUUCGCAUCCGCGAUCUCUUGAGCAGUCAUAUUCUUAACUGCUUCGGUCUGGAUCUUAAACGGGUCAGAUUCAGGUUGAACGCCCUGGAACCCUAGAUGGUGGUCAGUUGAGGGAGAUGUUGUACUGCUACUCUCAUAGGCAAACUGCAAGCCAUCAACCACCCUCUUAUACAAACCACCAUGGGAAGAGAUAGAUGAAGGAGGAGAAGGUGGUGGAGGACGGUGAAACGGGUGGUGGUCUCCGGUUGGACAUGGAAGAACAUGGUUGUAAGAUGGGUGGUGAUGAUAUUGAUGCAUGAUUAAAGGGAUUUGUGAGGAUGAUGAUGAU